GUCAAGCAGGGCAACAGUUCUGUUGAUUUUCUCCCGUAUUUAUUUCCUCAAAGUGAGAGUUGUGCACACGCCUCGGUGUUGUGCAGCAGAGCAUUGCCGAGGUUUCACUGGGUGCUGUGAGUUGUAGGGGUGGUGGUGGCAGCACCGUGCUCAGCCUGUGCCCGGCUGCAGUGACACCAGGCAGAGCUUGUGUCUUCACAAAACAUAUUUACAAAUCCAAGUCUUCAAAUGCAGUGUGCAGAGCAAGAAAUGCAGUGUCUGACACCAAAGUUAUUCCUUGCAUGUCGGUGCAGAUGUCUCUUUUAGAACCAUAAAUAAUAUCUGGGAAAUGUGAAUGUUUAUUUCUUGUAGCUGCAGUGGCCUUGUGCUUGAAAGCUGAUGAGGAACUCAGGGGUUUUAGUUGCUUAAUACUUUUCCAUUAGAAAAGAUGUUUAAUAAUUUUAAGUAAACCGAAACUUCCAUUGUUUAUAACAGACCUUUGAAAAGUGUCAAGUGCUCCAGAGCAGUGUUUUUCCGUAUGAAAUUCUACUCAGGUUUGUCUGACAAACAUAUCUGGACAUGUUUAUGUUUCCAUAGCAUUGGUUGCUUUAUCAUAAAAUAUUAAGUAUGCCAAAUUAUAAACAAGAGCUUGUUCCAUGCUGCAGCUGUACAUGUCAGAGUCCUGUACAUCCUCUGCCCUGGAGCUGAAGGAAGUGGAGACGGGGUUGAUUUCACAGAAUCCCAGAGUGGUUUGUGCUGGAGGGGACUUUACAACUCACCUUGUCCCUCCCCUGCCAUGGCAGGGACACCUUCCACUGUGCCAGGCUGCUCCCAGCCCUGCCCAGCCCGGCCUUGGGCACUGCCAGGGAUGCAGGGGCAGCCACAGCUGCUCUGGGCACCUGUGCCAGGGCCUGCCCACCCUCACAGGGAAGAAUUUUUUUUGCAUUAUCCAAUCAUGUCCUGCCUCUGUCAUUAGGAAGCCAUUCCCCCUUGUCCUGUCUCUCCAGGCCCUUGCAAACAGUUUCUUUCCCUCUUUCCUGUCAGCUCCCUUCAGGUAUUGGAAGGCUGCAAUGAGGUCACCCCAAAACCUUCUUUUUUCCAGGCUGAACAAUCCCAAUUCUCUCAGCCUUUCCUCCCAGCAGAGCUGCUCCAUCCCUCUGAUCUUCCUGGUGCCUCCUCUGGACUCUUCCAGCAGCUCCAGCUCCUUCCAGGGCUGGGGCACCUCUGCAGCCUGCAUUGAUCCUGGGGGCUGGCCUGACCCACCUGCAGCACCUGCUCUUGCUAAACCUCAUGGGAUUCCCAUGGGCCACUCCUGGAGCUUGCCCAGCUCCCUCUGGACAGCCCCGUCCUUCAGGUUUCCCAGCCUGAAGGAGCAACAGAAGAAUGAGAACCUGCUUUGCCUUGUGCACUGGGGAAAGGCUCUAGUCUGAGGAUUCCCAGUGUUGGCUUCACGAGGAUGUUGAGGAGAGAUCUCAGUCUAAUUCAUGUUUUUCAUCAGGUUGUCCAAAAAGGUCACGUGUGCUGCAUCUCUUUAUCUUCCCACCAGACCCAGUGGGCUGGGUUCAGACACGUGUUUCUCUUCAUGUGUGAGGGCACUUUUGUGGUUUGUGUGCUUUUCCAAUUGAUCAGUAGCUGAAGCAUUUGUGCUGGCAACCUCCUGCAUGAAUUGUGUGCUGACAACACACAUUUUUCCGUGGCAUCCCAGUGGGAAUGAUUGUUUUCUCUGCAGGGACAUUAAAACUGUGAGUGGUUGGGUUGAUUUGUUUUGUAAUAUUACUGCAAAGUUUGCUGGAGUUUCCAGUAUAAAUUAUCAAGGGUGGUUGUUGUACUGAAAAGAAAGAAGGAAAUUAAUUUUUUUCCUUGAGGAUUUAGUUGUUAUGUGGGGUACAGGAUUUGGUAAAAGUCUUUUUUUUGUCAGACUUUUCCCUUUGGAGGCUGCAAUUUCCUUCCCAAACACUCCUUUACAUCCUUCCCAAGUGCUACAGCCAGGGAGAUCUUCCCAGCCAAUGGCUGGGGAAAAACAAACAAUGUGAUUAGCCCAGUGUUUUCCCAUUCCAGACUCUCUAAAUAAAGGGAAGCACUGAAUUUCGGUGCCUUGCAUGCACGACAUUUCCCAGUGUCUGUGAGAGCUGUGCACAGAUAACUCCUGUGGAUUGGUUUGAGGGCUGGUGGCACAUGGGAAACAGAAAAGGGGGAGAAGGGGAGGUGGAGCUCCCAGGCUGGCUUUAGUAGCAGAAAUGUGGUUUAAAUUGCAGCUGGGGCUGUGCUGCCUGUCCUUAGCCCAUCAGGAUUCCCCGUGUAAGUCGGGGUUUGUCCUGAGCUCUGUUUGUAGUUGUGCAAUACUGUUUGAGUUGGAGACCAGGCUCCUGAAAAAAACUUGAUCUCCUGCCACUAAAACUUCCAAAAUAAAUAUUUAUCUUGUGUUGCAUCUUUUGAAAUGCUGUAUUAUGUUUUUGAGCUCUUGGUCACUACCUGUGUGGAUCUUGUAAUUUAGUAUUAACUUUUUCCUGUUAGUUCCAAACGGAGGAUGUUGUCAGGCGUUGUUAGGACAGGAUUUCAUUUCAAAGAGUAGGUAAACCUUUUUAUGUCUGCUCAGAACAUUGAGCCAUUGUUAAAUGGAGCCUGUGGUCACCUCGUUUUUAUUAGCAUGAUAUUUAUUUGUUUUGCUAAUGAUGAGGCUGUAUCCAGGUGGUUUUGUUCUCUUCCAUUCCAGAUGCAGUUGUGAGCUUGGUGUUUGUGUGAGAGGACUGGCUUUGUUUUCUUAGCUGACCAGGGGAUUUCUGCUGGACAAUCCAGGUCCUGCUGGCUCUGGCUGUGCACCAUCCUCAGGCAUUUUCACCCAGGCAGUCAUUUAAAUAAUUUAACUCUCUGUUCCUAUUUUUCAUUCUGAUACUGAUUUUCCUGCAGAAAAGCUACUUGUUCUUUUCUUACAGAAAACUUGUUUGUUUGGCAUGUGCUAGCAGAGACUUGAACUAGCCUGGCUUUCUUUUCCUUCCCAGCUUGCAAACCUUCCUCAGUUCCUGUGUCCUCUCCAGCCUUCACAGCCAUUUCUUCCUUUUCAUCAGUAGAGCUCUGCAGAGGAGGGGUGAUGAAGUAAGCACUGCCGUGGUCUUCCUCCAUCCUGCAGGCUCCAAACCUUGUUCAAAGGGUUGGUUUGUUUGUUUAACUGAUUGAUAGUUCAUGGCUGUUUAUUUGGAAGGACAAUUACUCACAGAAGAUUGACAGAGGUGUUUUUUUGGUGAAAGGCUGUAAUUUUGGACAAAUUAUUAUUAUGUGCUGUUUCCAGGGGACAGAGAGGCAAUAAAGAGUAGAGUGGAAGAGAGGGAGGUUUAUGUGCCCUCAUGCCUUGGUUUGUUUGGAAGUUGUUGUUGUUUUAAAUGAGUUGAAGGCUGUAAUUUUCCUGAUACUGGAAGGUAAUCCUAGGGAAGCUGUUUGCUUCUUGACUUGUGUGUGAAGUUAAUUUUUUUUUUGGGAGAGAAAUGUUUUGAUGUAUGUCUGUGAUUGACCAAAAUUCAGCCUGGAAGCUUGUAAAUAACCCAGUGUAGUGAUUUCAUUUUCCUCUAAUCCUCUGUUUUGACAUCUGAAAAUAAAAUGCUUCUAAUUUCCAUUUAAUAGAGAUUUUUUUAAGGGAAAAGGGCACUUUGAAUUCUGCAACUGUUAACAUGAUUUCUUCUGCCUUUCAUCAUCUGGCCUGCUUGAAUAGCUGUUCUCUUAAUGGCAAGGAUGAAAUUGUAUUGCUUGUGUCAUUCCACAGAUUGGAUAUUUCAGAAAGAAUCAUUGUAUGGAUUGCAAUGUCAGUAUUUUUAAAUAAUCCUUCACAUGGUUAUGAAUAGGAUAAAGUCAGUCUAUAUAAUGAUAAAACUUGAUUACACUUUCUGAAAACUGGAUUAGACUUUGUCUAAAUAUACAAAAAUCCUGAAAUUCCUGUUUUGAAGUGUUUUUUUGCUUGGCAGUUGUGUCAUGGCCAUCCCGUCUUAGCUACCAGGCCAGAAGGCUUGUUCCAAACUCCUUUGGGGUUUUGUUUUUAGUGCUGGAGAGCAUGGAUCUUAUGUGAGCACACAGCUGCAUUGUUGUGUGAGCUUUGUUGGAGCCCCAAGUUAUUUUUCCUGGUUGUACAGAAGAUCCAGCUCCACUGGUUGUGUCUUGCAGCAGACCAAGUAGUGUAAAUAUGAGCUGCUCAUGGCUCAGGCUGUGCAGGGAGGCAGUACAGACAACAAAAAAUGUUUUCCUUGGAAGAGGUGGGCAAUGCUGUUCUGAGAAUGGGCUUUUAGUCAGAAUCUAACAGCAAUUUUUAGUUAUGAUGUUAGCAGAGCUCAGAAUACAAUAUCCAUUUACAAAUUAAGGGAGUAAUAUCUUCUGUUGGAAGAAAAAGACAGGAAACUCUUCAGGAAUCCAGGUCUCCUGCUAAGUGCAUUGUGCCCUGCUGUUCCCUUGGUUGGCUCUGGAUGAGUCAGGGAGCUGUGCCCUGCUGGGGUGUGCCCCUCCAGCUGUGCCAGCCUGCUUUUGGUGGCUUUGGGACAAGAGAACCUGAGAAAAGAGCUGUGGCAAUCCAUCUGCAGCUUCUGCACAGCCCAGAGCUCCCAAGCUCUGCUCCACGGGAAACGAGCCCAAAACGCCCCGACUUCCUGAACCUCUGCACUAGUGCAUUGAUGGGAUGCCAGCUCUGCCUUUUUUGGAGGUGGCAUGCAGUGGCAGUGCCCACGGGAAAGAAACUGUAGCCAAGUGAUAUCCUGGACUUUGGUCCUUGAGAACUUACAGCAGUAGGUGGAAACAAGACUUUGGUUUUUUGUAUAUCAGAAACAGUUUUCUGAGAAAAUUCUUUCAGGGCUGCUGGCACAUCCUUGGUGAUAAUAAAUGAAUAGCGAGAGGUUUGAGAAGGAUCAGGCUCCUUUUCUCUUCACUCCUGCCAGUGAGACACCCCUGAAACUCUUCUUGCUCUCAGUUGCCUCUGCUUCUGAGCUGGGCCAGCAGACGUCAGUACUGGCCAGCCUGUGCUGAGUGGGUGUGGAGCAGCAGCAUUGCCAGCCCUCACAGCUGGGCUGCAAAAGCCCUGUGUGGUGUUUACUCCUGCUAAAUCUUUUCAGCAAUGUUACUGUUUUUAUUAGCAGAACAUGUAACUGCAGUAAGACAAGGUAAUGUUUCCUGUCAGAGGGGUAUUUUCUGUGUUAUGAGAAUAUUGCUGAUUCUUAUCCAGGAGCUUCUAGAGCAAGCACAGUCCUGGUUUGUCUAAAAGCUUGGUGCAUCACUGAUCUGAGAAUCCCAGAAUGGUUUGGGGUGGGAGGCAUCUAAAGUUCAUCCAGUCCAACCUGGCCCUGGACACUUCCAGGGAUGGGGCAGUUCCAGCUUCUCUGGGAAAUCUGUGCCAGGACCUCCCCACCUUCACAGGGAGGUUGCACUGUGUCAUCAUAGAGCAGCUUCACUCCUGUCCCCCUUUUAAAGGAGGGAGAAAACGUUUGUGCCCUCAGGUGAGACAGUUCAUUCACCAGUCUGUGGUGUGAGGUUGAAGUUCCUGGUGCAGGGUCUCUGUGCUUCCUUGGGACAGCACAGACCCUUGCUGCUGCUGCCUGUGCCUCUGCAGCAGUGCUGGUGUGUACUUUGAGCAGCACUUGACCUGACCCUGAGUGCCUAUGGGUGAAAGCAACCCCUGAAAGCAUGUUGGGAUUUUUGAGUAUAAUGAUAUUUGGAUAUUAAUAGUUUGUUAGUCCAAUUUUUCUGUGUUACUACAGUCAGAUGCUAGUAUAAAACAAAACUCUCUUUUUUUCUGUUUCUUUCUUGAGUACUUGGUAUAUAAUUUCACUCUGUUUUCUUCCAGUGUCCAUGCUCAUUUUUCUGUCUGCUCUGCAAACAAUCCACACCACAGGGGAGAUGGGAAUGAAAGCUUCAGAGUUGGUGUUUGAAGAAAAUCUGAUUCCUGCCACUAAGACCUUGCAAAGAGUCUGCUUAAAAUUAAUUCCCUCCGUAAAUAAGUGAUUUCAUGGUCUUGGAUUUCUAACUGGUGCUGAGUGCUGCCCUGUGAAGGCCCUGGUGUACGAAGGCAACUUCCCUCCACAUUUUUACAAAGCAAUUCUUUAUGUAUCUUGUCAGAGUGGGACUGGAGGCUGAAGCUUUCCGUUUUGUAUUAGUGUGUGUGGAAUGGCAAAGGAAAAGAACAGUUUUCAUUUUGGGAUUAAGUAAUUGAAAACCUUCCAGCUGCUAUAGUAACAGCAGCACAUCUGCCAGAUGUCAAUGAGCAUAUUUUAAUCCUUCUAUUUUAAGUUUCAAGCUAUUGAAGCAAAGUACAUGUAGGUGUGGCUGUGUUAGUAGCUGCCUCAGCCUGUAGCUACUUGGGUAGCCUAGGAAAGAGCCGUGUAGUAUCACUGUUGGAGUGACUGCUGAUUAAAUUUAUAGAAAAGCUUUUCCCAGAUGUUCUUACGGGGCAGGAGCCCAUCCUGAAGAUUUGUGUUCCUCUCUGAGACACUUUUAUGAUGUCCUGUUGGGUAUGCAGCGUGUGCUCUCCUCCUGUUAGAUUGAUUGGAGGUACCAGGACGUUUUUCUUGGAAGGUGUAAGAGCCAAAAGAGGAGAAAGAAAAAGUUGUGGUGCCUGGGCUUGCUGCCUAAUGCCAAUUCCGUGUGGCUGUGCUGCAUAGUGGGGAGCAGGGCUGAGGUGUCCACACAAGUGUCCUGUCCCCUGUUGACACUGUAAAUGAGUUUAGGCUGGAGUGAUGAAUGUGGGGUGGAAGAGGCUGUUUUUCUAGUUAAACAUUUUAAACUGUCAGAGAAGGUGAAAAAUGGGUUGUACUCUUUCCUGUGGCCUUUUCCUCCAAAGAGUCUGUCAGGCAAGAAAGGGAGGGAAAAUGUGCCUGGUGUGGAUCAAGGCCUUUGCUUUUCCAUGUUCGUUUGUUUUUAUUGUAAGAUAAACCUUUCAUGUUUUAUUGUUAUGAAGUUAAAGCCUGGCCUAGAGGUGCUGAUCUUUAGGAGGAACAGCUGGAGCGUCCCUGGUCAGGUGGGAGGCUCUUUGAAGCGACAUGUUGCCUCUUUAAGAGGAAAUGGAGCAUGUGAGAACUUCAACCUGUAAAACUCAUCAUCAGCUCUGCCAUUGUUUAUCUCUGCUGUAACUUUAUAUAGAAUUAAAGUGAAAUGCUUUACUUUGCUCCCGAGGCAAGAUGGUUUUGCUCCCCCUUGGUCUUGGAGACACAGGAAAUGACCACAUAACCACAAAUACUUUCUAGUGGAAUGAAGAUGAGUGACAAACUUCCCACAGAAAGAGAUUCUUAACCAGGCAGGCUAAGGAAUUAAAUGUAGCUGAAGGCUCUGGUUUUAAGUUAAAACCAACUUCUAACUGUGCAACCCAAGUAGAAAAGAGCAAAUGCUGUCCAUGCAGUGGCUGGUGUGAGGGGCAGAGCUGGUGUUCCUGGUGGACAGGGCAUUGUGAUCACAAUGGCUUUGAGCACAGGCUGUGCCCCAGUCAGGAGAGGAGUGACCCAAGCUGCCUGGGAGAUUAGGAGAGCUAAGGUGCUUUAUUGGCUUUGUUUCUCAGGUUGCCUUCUUGCACAGAAGGCCAGAACCCAUUAGCUCUCAGAUCUCCUUCACUUCUCUGUAGCAUUUUCAUUACUUAAAGCAAGGUCUUAGCUAUCCUCCCAUCAAUUUUUGGUACUCACUGUCACUGUAGACUCCUUACAGCUGGAAUAAAGUGCAGUGAUAGCCUUUAAAAUUGCACAAAAAUGGAUUUGCAUGAAGAAGAACAAUGCCUUCAAACGAGCUGCUUCAGAAAAAGCUUUCUUAAGACAGUUUUUUCUAAGUCAGUCAUGCUGCACCACAUCUGUUUAACAGUGGUGUUGGUGUGGGGGAAGGCCUAGUUUGUGUUUUAGGCUUAGUCUGAAUUGCAGUUGACAUAAAUAAUAAAUUCUUCACCU